UACAGAGGUCUCAAGCGUUGUUCGGAUUCAUUGGGCGUAAAGGGUGCGUAGGCGGCGCGGUAAGUCGGGUGUGAAAUCUCGGAGCUUAACUCCGAAACUGCAUUCGAUACUGCCGUGCUUGAGGACUGGAGAGGAGACUGGAAUUUACGGUGUAGCGGUGAAAUGCGUAGAUAUCGUAAGGAAGACCAGUGGCGAAGGCGGGUCUCUGGACAGUUCCUGACGCUGGAGGCGCGAAAGCUAGGGGAGCAAACGGG
rnacentral:rRNA from 1 species